rnacentral:rRNA from 1 species
UACGAACCGUCCAAACGUUAUUCGGAUUCAUUGGGCUUAAAGGGUGCGUAGGCGGCGCUAUCAGUCGGGUGUGAAAGCCCUCGGCUCAACCGAGGAACUGCGCCCGAUACUGUAGUGCUUGAGGGAGACAGAGGUAAGCGGAACUGAUGGUGGAGCGGUGAAAUGCGUUGAUAUCAUCAGGAACACCGGUGGCGAAAGCGGCUUACUGGGUCUCUUCUGACGCUGAGGUACGAAAGCUAGGGGAGCGAACGGG